rnacentral:lncRNA from 1 species
CUCUGUCCUCUUCUACGUCAGUGACAGUGAAAUCACGGCUGAGUGGCGCCACCGCCCGUGGGGCCCAUCACCGGUGCGCGCGCUCAAUAACGAGUGAGCGCGCCACCGUCGAGCGGCCUUUCGGCGGUGCGCACAAGGCCAGCGGUCGAGGCGCCAUUUCCUUAGUCGACUAGGGUCUCCGUCUCUCCGACUGCUAGUUUUCCUGCAUAUUCGAGAAAUAUAUGGAUCUUUUCUGCUCUUCAGGUCCUUCUCUUGGUUAUAGGCCUCCUAUAGUCCUAUCCAGGCCUUCCUGUAUCAAAUACCAAUCAUAGGUUGGAUUAUGCAGUACCGAUUCGAGAUUCAGAAAAGGAGAAAUUUCAAAAUUUUCGGUUUCUCAUCAUUCUGGUGUUGAACAUCUGAAGCAGCGAAUCUUGUGACGCCAUUUCAGGUGCCUGUCAUCGUUGACAAGUAGCAAAAGUGCAGGCUUGUUCAAUGCACCUAAUGAAAUCACUGCCAACUAGUAGAAAUUUUAUUUUUAAUCACAAACUAAUGUUUUAUGACAGCAUAUCCUCGGCUAUAAGUUUCUAUGAAUAAGUCAAGCGUCAAAGAUCACGGCAAAAAAAAAAAAAAAAA